ACUUUGUUACAAAACUAGAGAAACUGAGCGUGACAAAUACGUUUAACGCGCGCUAAACAACAGAGAAGCUUCCGAAUCAGAAGAAGAAAUAUACACAGGCUCAUCAUUACCAUCAACUAUCAAUACCAAAGAAUCUUCACUUCGCGUCCCUUUACUGACACCAACGGCAGAAGUAGUUGAAGGCGAAGCAACAGAAUCAGAAGAUGAAGAUGCAGCAGAGGAACAACAUUCAACAAUUAUUGAUAAUAUACAACCUGCUGUGAAGAGUACAAGAAGACCGGAAUAUGACACGCCUUUACACAGGAAACUGCGUGAGAAGAACAUCUAUUUACAUCGUGCCGUCCACCAGCUGGUAACCAAAAGCUACAAAACGUCCAAUCAAGGUCUCGCUGUGUGCGCAGAACAUCUCAGUAAACUGCAGGGAAUCGGGCAGGAAACGUUGGACAUUCUUGGCGAAACAAACGAAGAUCUCGAUAAACUGAAAGAGACAAUGGACACGGUGACGUCACGCAACAUACUUCCUGUCUUCAAGAAGCCACUCCCACGCACGACCUCACAGACUGAACCGACAACCGAAACCAUCGGUCACUAAUUAUCACAAUUUAUAUCAACUCUGAAAUUAAUGUUUAUAAAAAUUAAACACAAAAUCGAAUGAGUUCUGAUUCUGAUU